AAGAUCCAUAGCACUUGCAGAGGCUCUAUUUCACAUGUCAAGAAGAACUUCCUUUUUUGAACAUGGCUUGGCCAGGACUAGCAACAUGGAAUUCUUACAACUAAAAACUCAAUACAGCUUAUGUGGAAGUCUAUUUUGAGCUGACAUGUAUAGGCGGCCAGAGAUAGUAGUAUUAUUACCAGGCUUUAAUGUCAAGCUGUUUAUGUAACUUGUUCUAAUUGGAAGUAAUAAUAACAUAGAAAUCUUACAAGAAGUCUGCUCUCAAGAGAAACUGCACAGGUGGCCAC
rnacentral:lncRNA from 1 species